GGUGGCUCAGUGGUAGAGCACUUGCCUUGUAUGCAUGAGGUUCGAUUCCUGGGUUCGAUUCCUCAGCACCA
rnacentral:tRNA from 1 species